UACGAAGGGGGCUAGCGUUGUUCGGAGUUACUGGGCGUAAAGCGUGCGCAGGCGGUUUUGUAAGUCUGACGUGAAAUCCCCGGGCUUAACCUGGGAAUUGCGUUGGAGACUGCAAGGCUGGAGUCUGGCAGAGGGGGGUAGAAUUCCACGUGUAGCAGUGAAAUGCGUAGAGAUGUGGAGGAACACCGAUGGCGAAGGCAGCCCCCUGGGUCAAGAUUGACGCUCAUGCACGAAAGCGUGGGGAGCAAACAGG
rnacentral:rRNA from 1 species